UUGCAGCCAUACCGCGUUCAAAUAUCGUUUCUCGUACGAUCACUGAAGUUAAGCAACGUCGAGCCUAGUCAGCACCUAGAUGAAUAACCGCUUGGAAAUACCAGGUGCUGUAAG